rnacentral:rRNA from 1 species
AUUGAACGCUGGCGGAAUGCUUUACACAUGCAAGUCGAACGGCAGCACGGACUUCGGUCUGGUGGCGAGUGGCGAACGGGUGAGUAAUACAUCGGAACGUGCCCAAUCGUGGGGGAUAACGUAGUGAAAGCUACGCUAAUACCGCAUACGAUCUAAGGAUGAAAGCGGGGGAUCGCAAGACCUCGCGCGAUUGGAGCGGCCGAUGGCAGAUUAGGUAGUUGGUAGGGUAAAGGCCUACCAAGCCGACGAUCUGUAGCUGGUCUGAGAGGAUGAUCAGCCACACUGGGACUGAGACACGGCCCAGACUCCUACGGGAGGCAGCAGUGGGGAAUUUUGGACAAUGGACGCAAGUCUGAUCCAGCCAUUCCGCGUGCAGGAUGAAGGCCCUCGGGUUGUAAACUGCUUUUGUACAGAACGAAAAGGCUCUGGUUAAUACCUAGGGCUCAUGACGGUACUGUAAGAAUAAGCACCGGCUAACUACGCGCCAGCCGCCGCAGUAA